rnacentral:rRNA from 1 species
UACAGAGGUCUCGAGCGUUAGGCGGAAUCACUGGGCUUAAAGCGUGUGUAGGCGGGUCGUUAAGUACCUUGUGAAAUCCCAUGGCUCAACCAUGGAACGGCUGGGUAUACUGCGGGUCUUGAGCAACCUAGGGGCAGACGGAACAAGUGGUGGAGCGGUGAAAUGCGUAGAUAUCACUUGGAACGCCGACGGUGAAAACAGUCUGCUGGGGGUUUGCUGACGCUGAGACACGAAAGCCAGGGGAGCGAACGGG